GGUUGACAGCACACGUCAGAAACAUUGAGAAGAGGAACAGACCCAAGCAUGAAUGAGGAUUCAUUUUCAUAUCUGGAUCUCCAAGCACUUCAGUUAAAGGUGAAGAGCCGCCUUCUCCCAGGUGUUGCAGUAGAUCAGGAGCUGCACUGUCAGAAGGGAUGGGCACCACGCGGAGACUGUCCACUCCCUGCAGUGCACAGCACGAUGAAGACUUACUGAAUUGCACCUAAACAUAUCAACAACCCACUGAUAAAGCUUGGACAUUUGUCCCCUUCAAACCUCGUGUUGAAAUUUCAUCGCCAAUGUUGGAGCCCAUCUUGGUGAAGACAGCCUGUCUGUCCACAGGGAGAACCAGGAGAAGCCCAAGUGGUCUUGACUCUGACUCGCUCCAGGCGUCUCCUGUUGAUCAAUGCCACAGUCCUCCUCCAGGUGCCCUACCUGCAGUUUGGCAGGCUCGAUUCUCUCUCUCUGGGAUCUCGUAUAUUCUCCUGACACUGACCUUCACAGGC